rnacentral:rRNA from 1 species
UACGUAGGGGGCAAGCGUUGUCCGGAUUUACUGGGCGUAAAGAGCGUGUAGGCGGCCACGCAGGUCCGUUGUGAAAACUGGAGGCUCAACCUUCACACGUCGACGGAAACCGUGUGGCUAGAGUCCGGAAGAGGAGAGUGGAAUUCCUGGUGUAGCGGUGAAAUGCGCAGAUAUCAGGAAGAACACCAAUGGCGAAGGCAGCUCUCUGGGACGGUACUGACGCUGAGACGCGAAAGCGUGGGGAGCGAACAGG